rnacentral:rRNA from 1 species
UACGUAGGGAGCAAGCGUUGUCCGGAAUCAUUGGGCGUAAAGAGCGCGUAGGCGGCCGUGUAAGUCCGCUCUGAAAGUCAAAGGCUCAACCUUUGAAAGCGGGUGGAUACUGCACGGCUAGAGUCCGGAAGAGGCGAGUGGAAUUCCUGGUGUAGCGGUGGAAUGCGCAGAUAUCAGGAGGAACACCAACGGCGAAGGCAGCUCGCUGGGACGGUACUGACGCUGAGAAGCGAAAGCAUGGGGAGCGAACAGG